AGUGAACGCUGGCGGCAGGCCUAACACAUGCAAGUCGAACGGCAGCACCGUAAGAGCUUGCUCUUACGGGUGGCGAGUGGCGGACGGGUGAGGAAUACAUCGGAAUCUACUUUUUCGUGGGGGAUAACGUCGGGAAACUUACGCUAAUACCGCAUACGACCUACGGGUGAAAGCAUGGGAUCUUCGGACCUUGCGCGAUUGAAUGAGCCGAUGUCGGAUUAGCUAGUUGGCGGGGUAAAGGCCCACCAAGGCGACGAUCCGUAGCUGGUCUGAGAGGGUGAUCAGCCACACUGGAACUGAGACACGGUCCAGACUCCUACGGGAGGCAGCAGUGGGGAAUAUUGGACAAUGGGGGCAAGCCUGAUCCAGCCAUACCGCGUGGGUGAAGAAGGCCUUCGGGUUGUAAAGCCCUUUUGUUGGGAGAGAAAAGCAGCAGGUUAAUACCCCGCUGUUCUGACGGUACCCAAAGAAUAAGCACCGGCUAACUUCGUG
rnacentral:rRNA from 1 species